rnacentral:rRNA from 1 species
AUUGAACGCUGGCGGCAGGCCUAACACAUGCAAGUCGAGCGGGGUUUUCGGACCUAGCGGCGGACGGGUGAGUAAUGCGCAGGAAGCUACCCGAUAGAGGGGGAUACCAGUUGGAAACGACUGUUAAUACCGCAUAAUGUCUACGGACCAAAGUGUGGGACCUCCGGGCCACAUGCUAUCGGAUGCGCCUACGUGGGAUUAGCUAGUUGGUGGGGUAAUGGGUCACCAAGGCGACGAUCCCUAGCUGGUUUGAGAGGAUGAUCAGCCACACUGGAACUGAGACACGGUCCAGACUCCUACGGGAGGCAGCAGUGGGGAAUAUUGGACAAUGGGCGCAAGCCUGAUCCAGCCAUGCCGCGUGUGUGAAGAAGGCCUUCGGGUUGUAAAGCACUUUCAGUAGGGAGGAAGAGUUGAGUGUUAAUAGUACUCAGCUUUGACGUUACCUACAGAAGAAGCACCGGCUAACUCUGUGCCAGCAGCCGCCGUAACAC